rnacentral:rRNA from 1 species
AUUGAACGCUGGCGGCAGGCCUAACACAUGCAAGUCGAGCGGAUUAAUGGAGCUUGCUCCUGGAUUCAGCGGCGGACGGGUGAGUAAUGCCUAGGAAUCUGCCUGGUAGUGGGGGAUAACGUCCGGAAACGGGCGCUAAUACCGCAUACGUCCUGAGGGAGAAAUUGGGGGAUCUUCGGACCUCACGCUAUCAGAUGAGCCUAGGUCGGAUUAGCUAGUUGGUGGGGUAAAGGCCUACCAAGGCGACGAUCCGUAACUGGUCUGAGAGGAUGAUCAGUUAGCUUGGAUGUGAGGAAGGGUACACACUCCUACGGGGGGACGCAGUCGGGACUCUUGGACAAGGGGGGAAAGGGUGAUCCAGCCCUGUGGGGUGUGUGAAGAAGGUCCCAGGAUUGUAGAACAAUUAAAGUUGGGAGGAAGGGCAGUACGUUCACCGCUUGCUGUAUUGACGUUACCAACAGAAUAAGCCCCGGCUAACUUCGUG